rnacentral:tRNA from 1 species
GCCUGGGUGGCUCAGUCGGUUGAGCGUCUGACUUUGGCUCUGGUCAUGAUCUCAUGGCUUGUGAGUUCGAGCCCCGCGUCAGGCU